rnacentral:rRNA from 1 species
AUACAGGGUGACAGCCCCGUACACAAAAAUGCACAUACUGUGAGCUCGAUGAGUAGGGCGGGACACGUGGUAUCCUGUCUGAAUAUGGGGGGACCAUCCUCCAAGGCUAAAUACUCCUGACUGACCGAUAGUGAACCAGUACCGUGAGGGAAAGGCGAAAAGAACCCCGGCGAGGGGAGUGAAAAAGAACCUGAAACCGUGUACGUACAAGCAGUGGGAGCCUCUUAAUGGGGUGACUGCGUACCUUUUGUAUAAUGGGUCAGCGACUUAUAUUCUGUAGCAAGGUUAACCGAAUAGGGGAGCCGAAGGGAAACCGAGUCUUAACUGGGCGUUAAGUUGCAGGGUAUAGACCCGAAACCCGGUGAUCUAGCCAUGGGCAGGUUGAAGGUUGGGUAACACUAACUGGAGGACCGAACCGACUAAUGUUGAAAAAUUAGCGGAUGACUUGUGGCUGGGGGUGAAAGGCCAAUCAAACCGGGAGAUAGCUGGUUCUCCCCGAAAGCUAUUUAGGUAGCGCCUCGUGAAUUCAUCUCCGGGGGUAGAGCACUGUUUCGGCAAGGGGGUCAUCCCGACUUACCAACCCGAUGCAAACUGCGAAUACCGGAGAAUGUUAUCACGGGAGACACACGGCGGGUGCUAACGUCCGUCGUGAAGAGGGAAACAACCCAGACCGCCAGCUAAGGUCCCAAAGUCAUGGUUAAGUGGGAAACGAUGUGGGAAGGCCCAGACAGCCAGGAUGUUGGCUUAGAAGCAGCCAUCAUUUAAAGAAAGCGUAAUAGCUCACUGGUCGAGUCGGCCUGCGCGGAAGAUGUAACGGGGCUAAACCAUG